AACAGUUUCAGGUUAAGAACGGACCUCCGGAACGAAUUAAGUACGUAACCAGAGGUACCACUGUACUGGGAAACCAAGGCAGGGCAGUGCUAUAGGGCAGAAAUCCAGAGCCCCACUCGGCAGAAGCAGCACAACUGGGUUGGCUUGCCACAUUUUGAAAAACGUAAAGCAAUACAUAUAUCUGUCUAAAAAGCGUCACCCCACAAUGAAAUUAAUAGCUCCAGUCUCUUAAACUGGUAAGAGAGCUACAAUGGUUCUCGGAUUGAGAUAGCUUUACCACAGUUGUCCAUGCAUGUAACCUCACAAUUGGAUUACUGCAAUGCAUUCUAUGUGGGAUUGCCUUUGGGGCUUUUCCAUCCGGUGAUUUUGGUGCAGGUUGUAGUAGCUUGGCUGCUGGUGGGGGCAAGCUAGUGCCAGCAUAUAGCCAGUGGCGGAGCUUCAUGCUCCGGGGGGCGGAGAGCAGGCAGGGCAGGGCUGGCGCAUAUCCCAGGGGCAUGGCGCUGGCACCCCACCGGGAUCACGCUGCCGGGGGCAGUGCGCUCCCCCCGCACUCCUCUUCCUCUGCCAGUGCAUAUAGCACCUUGCGUGUGGGAUUUGCACUGGCUGCCAAUUUGCUACCAGGCAAAAUUCAAGCUGCUGGUAUUGUUACAAUCUGCCCAAUCCCUGCCAAGACAUGUGCAGGGUUCCAGGGGUCUUGGCCUUCAAUCAGGGUCUGUGCUCAUUUGCAUAACUGAAGAUUCAGCUUUAUUUAUUUUUUAAGGGGGGAGGACACCCACUCGCCAUCAUCCUCUGUCUGGCUCUGUCCAGCAGAUUUGGAAUAAAAGUCUCAACAACAGUUGUUUUAAAUUACUUUCUUUUGACCCCCAGGGCUCAGAAAAAUCUGUCAAAAUGUUCAGUCAUUUGAAAACUAGGAAGUUAAAUAAAAAGUUAACAUCAGGGAGUACCUUUAAUGCGGUUAAUGAGUAUAUUUAGCAAAAUUGCAAAGAACACGCCUUUUUAAUCUAAUUUAAUCUAAUUUUAAUCCAAUUUAAUCUAAUUUUUAAAAAUGUAAACUAAAACAAGUUUUCAGCACUUCCUUCUUAAAUUCCUGCUUUUCUUCCAAUGCAGUUUUUCUGUGCACACUCAGUAACAUGGUCCAUUGAGAUGCUGGCCUGCCAUCAUUGACCUUAGCCAGGUCUUUACUUCUCACAAAUGACUGCUCUAUGGCACAAGUGCUGCAUGGCUGAGCAAAAGAGACGAGCAGAGCCUUUUCGUAGGAUGGAGCCAGAGACGGCGGUUAUAAUGCAAACAAGGACAUUUUAAAGAUGCUGUAUGUUCAGACCAUGAAGAUGCUAACAUAUAUGAGAUACAGCAAUGCCCACACCUUCCUCUUCCUCAUGACUUGUCUGGAGGAACAGCAGCCAACUGCUAGGGUGUGUGUGGAAGGAGAGACAAAGCAGAUGGAGUGUCCUGGAAAGGGGCAUGGCUGACUAGCUGGUCCAGAGUGCUCCAUAUCCACACUUCAACAUUUUGAUGCAGGUCCCACAGCUAUUGAUAAUGACAGGCGUCCACACACCCCAAACCUGAUAUCCUCAGAAGUUACCUACAUCACCUGCAGAAAACCCACAGAAUGUAAUCCUUGGCAUAGAUUCCACUUUCCUGGGAACAUCAUCUUUCAUGUAGGAACAAAUUAAAAGGGAAAGAGCUGCCCACCAAGUUGAACUGAUCAUUAUCCUUGUGAGUGAGAUUGACUUAACACAGGACUCUUCUGUUCUUUGCAACACAUGGUUCCAUCUUUAGACCACAUGGCAUAAGAAUGACUUCCUAACAUGCUGCCCCAGGGACCACCCCCCGCUCAGUGCAGACCACUCCCUCCGCUCCUGGCCACUGUCUGCACAGUCCUUUCUGGAGCCUGAGGUUCCACUGAGCAUUGCUCACCACUAGCCAUUUUUCAGGCUCACAUAUGCAAGCACAAUGGCAAGAAACACAACUUCUGGCAUAGUGAAGUAGCUGCUGUUCAGCUGUGCGGCUGACAAAUGCACAUUGGCGCAAGUCUCUCAGGUCAACCAAAAAGAUAUGACAGGAAAGAGAGGAAAAGGAAUGGGGAGGGAUGAAGAAAACAAAGUCCAGGUACCCAAACUUUCCAGGUCCACUUUCCAGCUACCAGAGCAGAUGGCGAGAACAUGGAACUGCAGGUGCAGCUAUCAGUCCAGCCGGGAUAAGGUAAUAUGAGGGGCUGAUGGGAUCCCACAUGACCCUAUAAAACUUCUGAGUCUAGAAUGGUCUCAGCAGUUUGUCUUUUGGAUAAAGAGCAAGCUGUCAGCAGACUUUUAGUUGGCCACAGUCCAUCUUUCUCAACAAAAAGCAGCGGAAUGUGGGUCUGAAGCAGGUGAAGUCAAACUGCUGUGUUAGCAGCACAGAAGUGACCUCCCCAGGGCACAUGCCUGGGCAGCGUGUCUGGAGGUCCUGA